AUGCCUACAGCUGAACAUCCCUAUGAAUUGGCUAUGUACCUACAUUUCCUACAUCAAAACUUAUUCCCAUCAUGGACAGAGAUCUUUGCAAUGGCUGAGUGGUUGAUGAGCCUUCUGGAGAGUGAGGAUACUGAAUUCUUCACUCAUCUUCAGCAGUGUUUCAGAAAGAAUUGUGCAGUUGACCUAAAAGAUUUCCUGGUGGAGUUGAUAGUUCGAGAAAGAGAGAAAGCUCAAGAACUCUACUCCGCCACAGACAGAUCUGAGCAAAACAAACAUCUAACCAAGGAAUUACUGGCAAGCCCAGUAUUUUCCUCAGAAAGUGGAUGGGUGAAGCCGCUUGCUGAUCUGUCUCCAAGGCUCAGUUCAAUGGAAGCUGGAAAGGUUUCGCUUGGCUUCCAGGACCUCUUGCAAGUUGAAGUGAAGGAUGUUUUACUGAAGCUAGUUUUACCAGUACCACAGGUUGAGAUAUCACACAUUGAAACUUGGUUGAAAGAAUUUGACCCUCUUGCUGUGGAGUUAACAGUUUCAGUAUUUUAUGGCCUUGAAAAACUGUGUUCCAAGACUAGCUCUUUUAAACUCUCUCUUCUACAGAAAACCAAAGGAAAAACAGCAAAAAAAAGUGAAACCACUGAAUUUAUUGUUCGGUUCAAUGAAACAUUUGCCUUUGAUUGUCUGGAUCCAUCUGAGUUUAUAAAUAUGGCAGAAGCUAAACCCUAUAUUGUAUUAAAAGUAGUUUAG
rnacentral:lncRNA from 1 species